AACUUCUGAAUGUUGACCUCGGAUCAGGUAGGACUACCCGCUGAACUUAAGCAUAUCAAUAAGCGGAGGAAA
rnacentral:rRNA from 1 species